GCGACCCCAGGUCAGGCGGGACUACCCGCUGAAUUU
rnacentral:rRNA from 1 species